UUUUCCUACGGGACGCAGCAGUAGGGAAUCUUCCACAAUGGGCGAAAGCCUGAUGGAGCAACGCCGCGUGGGUGAAGAAGGUCUUCGGAUCGUAAAACCCUGUUGUUAGAGAAGAAAGUGCGUGAGAGUAACUGUUCACGUUUCGACGGUAUCUAACCAGAAAGCCACGGCUAACUACGUGCCAGCAGCCGCGGUAAUACGGAGGUGGCAAGCGUUAUCCGGAUUUAUUGGGCGUAAAGGGAACGAAGUCGGGCUUUUAAGUCUUAUGUGAAAGCCUUCGGCUUAACCGGA
rnacentral:rRNA from 1 species